CUUUGCAUUUGUGUUUUGUUUCUCUUUUUGUUCUGUCAUGUUUUAAGUUCAUUUUCUGUUUAGUUUUUGAAAGGUUCCUGUGUUGUCGUGUUUUCCUUUUGUUCUCCAUCUGCCCUCAAUAUUUCCACCUGUCUCGUCUGUUCUGUAUGUAUUUAAGUCCUGUCUUUCCCUUCCUCCUGUGCUGAUCCAUAGUUGGCUGUUAGUUUUGCUGUCCACCAGUUCUUGCAUUAUUACAGUUUCAAGUUUGCCUGCCUGCUGCAGUAGAGUUUGUUUAGCUUUUGGACUUUAGUUAUGAAAGACCUGUGUUGUAACCUUCUGUCUCCACCUCUCUGCGCCUGGGUGCUGUGGAAAUUAUAAUCAAAUAUGUAUAGUGGGAAUCAUAAUCAGAUAUGUAUUUCUGUUAUAUAAAUGUGUUGUAAACUUAAGCCUGACGAAGAAUGUGUCUCUAUUGUGAAAGGUGAAAGAACGCUCAGCAGCAGCUCAAAAGGGAAGUGAAAGAUGUGAUUAAGAGCACCCCCCACGCUUACCGUUAUGCUUUGUCAGCACCUCCUUAUUUGGUAGAGACAAAUGUAAGAAGCUGAAUGAGUAGGAAGUGAAUCAUGAAUUGUGAAACAGGAUUCAAGUGUUCAAUAAAAAGAGACCCUGCAGAAGGGAGAACCCAGAAUUGACACAGACUGUGAGGAGAGGUUGUGAACAGCUGUGUUGAAUUCUCCCUCUGCAGAGGCGAACCAAAGUUUCAGAGUGUGAAGUGUCAUUAUUAGAACUUCCAACUACAGGAUCCUUUUGACUCCAAAUUGAAGAACCUGGGGAAGUCAAUUUGGACUUCAACAGUGUUUACCUCAUUCCCUGCCAUAACAAGGGAUUUUAGUUCCCUGCUUCAGAAGCUGAGCUGACGACAUGAGGGCAAGGUUGAUCCUGCAGUAGCACCGGGAGCAGAAACUAUGACAUAGUUUUAAAAGGGAAUCAUCUGACCGUUUUUUUUACUGCCUCCAGCAGUUUUGAAAACGUUUAAGAAGCAAAUUCUCGUUUAAGUCUGGACAGAUGAACUUGUCUUCUACUCACAGGCGAACAGGAAAUACUGAAUAAGUUGGAGCUUACAGCUAACAAAGGAGUGCAAAAAUGACCAUGUUGUGGGUCUGGACCUGUUUCUUCUGGUGUUGUGUAUCAGUGGUCCAUUCAGGAAAGGUGCUUGUCUUCCCUGUUGAUGGGAGCCACUGGGUGAACAUGAGAGUCAUCAUAGAGGAGCUGCAUUCCAGGGGCCACCAGGUUACUGUCAUCCGACACACAGACAGCUGGUACAUCAAGGAGACCUCCCCGUUCUACACCUCUAUUACAGUGAAUUUGAAGAACGACAGUAAAAACAUUGUUGCUUCUUUCGUGUCCAAGAACAUUGAGAUUAAGAGGAGAAGAAAUCCAGCCUGGUUGCGUUUUCUACAGGAAAUAGAACAUUUUCCCCAAUUUCUUGAAUUCCAUAAAAUCACAUGCACCACUCUUGAGAGAAUUUUUGAAAAUCAAGAGCUAAUGCAGUUGUUAAAAAACACCAAUUAUGACCUAAUCCUGACUGAUCCGGCCACACCAGGAGGGGCCAUUCUUGCACAUUACUUGAAGUUGCCUCUUGUUUUCAAUGUCCGAUGGACCACUCAUGGUGAAGGCCAUUUCAUAAUCGCACCUUCUCCUCUGUCUUAUAUUCCAGUUGGAAUAGAGUUCUCGGACAAAAUGAGCUUCUUCCACAGAGUCAUAAAUGUUCUAUUUUUUUACUUUGGUCAGCACAGUUUUGAGAAAAUGAUCACACCCCACUAUCAAGAUUUCAUGAAGAAAUAUUUUGGCCCAGAUGUUGACUUCUAUUCUAUGUUCCAAGCUGCAGACCUGUGGCUCAUGAGAGUGGACUUUGUGUUUGAGUUCCCUCGUCCCACCAUGCCCAAUGUGGUCUAUAUGGGAGGGUUCCAGUGUAAACCUGCUAAACCGCUUCCUGAUCACUUGGAGGAGUUUGUGCAGAGUUCUGGAGAGCAUGGAUUCAUCAUCAUGUCACUGGGAACAUUGAUUGCAGAUCUGCCCGCUGACUUAGCUGAAGAGAUCGCUGCAGCUUUUGCUGAAUUACCACAGAAAGUCAUCUGGAGGUACAAAGGCAGCAGACCCUCCACUCUGGGGAACAACACCUUACUGGUUGAUUGGCUGCCACAGAAUGACCUUCUGGGACAUCCACACAUUCAAUUGUUUGUCAGUCAUGGAGGAACUAAUGGAAUCUAUGAGGCUAUUUAUCACGGAGUCCCAGUUGUAGGGAUUCCAAUUGUCUUUGAUCAAGCCGACAACCUCUCCAAACUGAGGGUCAGAGGAGUGGCGAGGACGGUGGAAAUCUCUGAUCUGAAUAGGACAAACUUUCAAGAAGCCAUUCAGGACGUCCUGAAUGAUCCGUCCUACAGGAUGAACAUGCAGAGACUCUCCAGGCUGCACAGAGAUCAGCCGAUGAGGCCGCUGGAUACUGCCCUCUUCUGGAUAGAGUUUGUCAUGAGACACAAAGGAGCUGCUCACCUGAGAACAGAGUCCUACAAGCUGCCCUGGUACUCCUACCACUCUGUGGAUGUCAUAAUGUUUCUGCUAGCAGCUGCUGUGCUUCUGUUGUUCUCAAUCUUUGGUUUUGUCUGGUUUUGUUUCAGACUGUGUGUUCAAAGAAAACAGAAAUGUGACUAAGUUCAUGUUUCAUUGCAGCAAAGCAAAACAGUAAUUUUCGAUCAUUCGAAUUUAAGAACAGUUUUUAUUUUUUCUGAAUGUAUUAAAAAUCUUCAGUUGCUUGUGUGUUCAAAAAACCUUUUUCUACUUUGUUCUCUUAAUCAUUGUACAAACAGUCUCACCAAACUGCAAAUACUUUCCAAAGUGAAAUUUGUGGUCAUAAAGCGUUGUAGAUACACAAUGUGUCAACAAUAUCUAUAACAGAACAGUCGUGCAAACAUUACACAAUUAAUCUAUAAAGACCACUAAAGAUCUUGAAUGUUUCUCCAUCAUCCAAAUAUCUCUUUCAUUGCACUAUGAUCUGAAGAGAAAAGCAAAAUAUCUGAAAGAGAAAUAGAUUUAAAGUUAUUUCACAUAUACUUCGAGUUAUACAUAAAUUUAUACACAUUUAAUUUUGUUAUUCAAAAAACAAUACAAGGAGACAAAUUAGACUGUUUCACAUUUUAUUUGAGAGAAUGUUCUUCAGAGAAGAACAAAGUACUAAACUGCUUAGGAUCCCCAAAAAAUAUCUUCUGGGUUGUUAUGGUUUUAGUUUCUCUGCGUUUGUGUUUUGUUUCUCUCUUUGUUCUGUCAUGUUUUGAGUUUAUUUCUUGUUUAAUUUUGAAAGGUUCCUGUGUUGUCGUGUUUUCGAGUUUUCCUUUUGUUCUCCAUCUGCCCUCAAUAUUUCCACCUGUCUCGUCUGUUCUGUAUGUAUUUAAGUCCUGUCUUUCCCUUCCUCCUGUGCUGAUCCAUAGUUGGCUGUUAGUUUUGCUGUCCCCCAUUUCUUGUAUUAUUACAGUUUCAAGUUUG